CCCUUAGACGUUCUGGGCCGCACGCGCGCUACACUGACCAGUGCAACAAGCAUCCGUCCUUGGCCGACAGGCCCGGGCAAUCUUUGAACGCUGGUCGUGAUGGGGAUAGACUUUUGCAAUUUUUGGUCUUCAACGAGGAAUUCCUAGUAAACGCAAGUCAUCAGCUUGCAUUGAUUACGUCCCUGCCCUUUGUACACACCGCCCGUCGCACCUACCGAUUGAAUGGUCCGGUGAAAUCUCGGGACGGCGGCUUGGUCGCUUGCGUCCGACUGCUGAAACUUGAUUAAACCAUAUCAUUUAGAGGAAGGUGANGUCGUAACA
rnacentral:rRNA from 1 species